UACAGAGGUCCCAAGCGUUGUUCGGAUUCAUUGGGCGUAAAGGGUGCGUAGGUGGCGUCGUAAGUCGGGCGUGAAAUCUCGGGGCUUAACUCCGAAACUGCAUUCGAUACUGCGGUGCUUGAGGACUGGAGAGGAGACUGGAAUUUACGGUGUAGCAGUGAAAUGCGCAGAUAUCAGGAGGAACACCGGUGGCGAAGGCGGGUCUCUGGGCAACAACUGACGCUGAGGAGCGAAAGCGUGGGGAGCGAACAGG
rnacentral:rRNA from 1 species